rnacentral:rRNA from 1 species
UAGAGUUUGAUCAUGGCUCAGGAUAAACGCUGGCGGCGUGCAUGAGACAUGCAAGUCGAACGGGUGACUUAGAGCUUGCUUUAAGUCGCUAGUGGCGGACGGCUGAGUAACGCGUAGGUGACCUACCCCGAAGUGGGGAAUAACUGCCCGAAAGGGUGGCUAAUACCGCAUACGAUCGGUCAUUCAUUUGAUCGAUCAAAGCAGUAAUGCGCUUUGGGAGGGGCCUGCGUCCGAUUAGCUCGUUGGUGGGGUAAUGGCUCACCAAGGCGACGAUCGGUAGGUGGUCUGAGAGGACGAUCACCCAGACUGGGACUGAGACACGGCCCAGACUCCUACGGGAGGCAGCAGUCGGGAAUUUUGCUCAAUGGACGAAAGUCUGAAGCAGCAACGCCGCGUGAGGGAUGAAGGCCUUCGGGUUGUAAACCUCUUUUCUCAGGGACGAUAAUGACGGUACCUGAGGAAUAAGCCACGGCUAACUACGUGCCAGCAGCCGCGGUAA